CACGUAGGAGACAAGCGUUAUUCGGAUUUACUGGGCGUAAAGCGCGUGCAGGCGGUCUGACAAGUUGGAUGUGAAAGCUCCCGGCUUAACUGGGAGAGGUCGUUCAAGACUAUCAGACUUGAGAGUGGUAGAGGGAGGCGGAAUUCCGGGUGUAGUGGUGAAAUGCGUAGAUAUCCGGAGGAACACCAGUGGCGAAAGCGGCCUCCUGGCCCAUUUCUGACGCUCAGACGCGAAAGCUAGGGUAGCAAACGGG
rnacentral:rRNA from 2 species